UCGGCAGAGACUCCAAAGACCCACAGUUUUCCAUACUAAGAUAUAUCAAAUUGUGCGGCAAAGCCCCCACUGGGAAGGAGACUAAACUCCUACAUUGGCUUAUUUUCAAAUCUUCGAGAGAUUUGAGGUCUUUCAGUCCACUAGGUAACUCCUUCAGAUUUGGACACAAAUCUAUGUCCAAAACUUCCAGGUUGCAAGGCAAAAGCCCUUCCUCUCCAUCUACCAAUGACACAAGCUCAUGACAUCCCCCAAUUUCCAAACGCUUUAGGCUAGUAAGACAGGUGGCAUUAGUCACACUCUUGAGAAAUGCCUCUUGACAUCUUCUAAUAUAGAGUGUUAUAAAUGAUGGGAGCACUUUUGGUAAUUCAACCAAGAGCGGGCAAUUAUCAAUGACAAUAUUUUCCAGGGAAGAAAGGAAGUUGGGCAAUUUUUCAACCAACCUGGAACAAUUUUGUAUUUGGAGUUCAUACAGCUUAGGAAAUUUUGCCACAGAAUCUUCACCCAGACCAUUAGACCAAGCCCACUGCUCCCACUCACCCAUAUCAACAAUCUCUAGCGUUUCCAAACAGGAAAAACAUGAUUCAUCCUCAUAAAACUCCACACCCACUUCUUUCACUCCACUUAAGCCUUUUAUGCUCAACUUUUUUAAUGACUUUAAUCGUCCGAGUGGUGGCAGUGAAGUAAUUUGAUGACAGUUGCUCAGCUCCACCUGCACCAUGCCAGAGAAUGAAAUAAUACUUCUGUUUUGCAUGUCAUUUUUGUCAAAAAUAUAAUGUCAUUGAAUUGGUUUUAUGAAAUAAUACUUCUGGAAUUCUUUUGUUUUUUCAGUCUGCAGAAAGACCCAACAAAAAGAUGGUCAGCAUAUGACCUUCUGGUAAGUGAAACUUUUUUUUUUCCCUCCUCCUUGACAUCCAAAUGUAAUACCAUCAAUUUGUGUUGAUCAGCUGACGUUUCUAAUAUUUGAUUUUCUUUUUAAUAUUUUCAAUUGCAAUGGAAGAAACAUCCAUUCAUGAUCAAGUAUGAUGACCUGCAAGCAGAAGCUCUCAAAUCUUACUUCACAAACACAGGCUCUCCAGAAACUACUAGUGAGUGAUUGUGAUCGAACAGCUCUUCUUCAAGAAACUGAUUAAAGAAUGUUUUUCACUACAUCGAAUUGCAAAGCAUGAUGCCAUAUCAACACAGCUAAAGCAUCUCCUCGUGCGUGUUUUCUACCUUAUAUAGAUGUGUGUAUUCUAUAAAUUUGUUGCUCAAGAAUGACAAGGCCACAAAAAAUCUGUCGAUCAGGCAUCGAAUCUAUCUUUUUAUUGAAAUAGUUAAGUUUCUGUUUAUCAACUGUUGAAUAUUAUAGUGCCCUGAUCCG
rnacentral:lncRNA from 1 species